CGGAAACCGCGUCUGGUACCCACAAUGCACCGCGGUCGUCGCAGCUGGUCUUCCUGCGUUCGAUUCUUCUUUCGACCACCUUCGAAAGCAAUGGCCGUGCAUGACGGGCGGCGGUAAGGUGUUAAAAUAGGAGUGCAGAAGGGCAUCCGGCGCCGGGAUCCGGUCGGCGGGCGCCAGCGUCAGCAUUCUCUGAACCAGGUCUUCGGUUUUGCAUGGCAGUCGACUCAACCUGAUGCCGAUCAAGAGCGAAUUGGCUUCAGCUUGGAGGGAAGGGCCCAGUCUGGAACGACAACAACAAUGACACUUGGAAGACUUUGGUCUCAUGCGCUCGUAGAAGGACGACGUCUGCAAAUUAGUAGGACGAAUAAAGGUGCGCUUGUAAAACAA